GGGGAUUUGGCUCAGUGGUAGAGCGCUUGCCUAGCAAGCAUAAGGUCCUGGGUUCGGUCCCCAGCUCCG
rnacentral:tRNA from 1 species